UACGUAGGGGGCGAGCGUUGUCCGGAUUUAUUGGGCGUAAAGAGCUCGUAGGCGGCUUGGCAAGUCGGGUGUGAAACCCCCAGGCUUAACCUGGGGACGCCACUCGAAACUGCCAUGGCUAGAGUCCGGUAGGGGAUCACGGAAUUCCUGGUGUAGCGGUGAAAUGCGCAGAUAUCAGGAGGAACACCAGUGGCGAAGGCGGUGAUCUGGGCCGGUACUGACGCUGAGGAGCGAAAGCGUGGGGAGCGAACAGG
rnacentral:rRNA from 1 species